CAGCCGCCGCGGUAAUACGAAGGGUGCAAGCGUUAAUCGGAAUUACUGGGCGUAAAGCGUGCGUAGGCGGUGAGUUAAGUCUGCUGUGAAAUCCCCGGGCUCAACCUGGGAAUGGCAGUGGAUACUGGCUCGCUAGAGUGUGUCAGAGGAUGGUGGAAUUCCCGGUGUAGCAGUGAAAUGCGUAGAGAUCGGGAGGAACAUCAGUGGCGAAGGCGGCCAUCUGGGACAACACUGACGCUGAGGCACGAAAGCGUGGGGAGCAAACAGGAUUAGAUACCCCAGUAGUCCCUGUCUCUUAUAC
rnacentral:rRNA from 1 species